rnacentral:siRNA from 1 species
ACGAGAUGCCAAUGACACACCCCG